GCCCUCGUAGCUCAGGGGACAGAGCAAGCGCCUCCUAAGCGCUAGGUCGGUGGUUCGAAUCCUCCCGGGGGCACCA
rnacentral:tRNA from 1 species